AUGAGGAAGUUUUGAACGGUUUUGUGAUUUAAUCUCUCCCAAGUCUCCUCCUCCCCACGUUCCUGUAACUUCCCUGUACACUUCCUUUUAAAGCAGACCUGAUGUAUCUCAAACCUAGAUUUUUGCCCCAUUCCCCUCCAUCGCUCUCUAUCCAAUUGCGCUUUGAAAAGUAAGAUCAAGCAUAACAGUCCUUUUCCGUUAACUUCCCCUUCCAAACAAACCGCGAGUCCACAACACAAAUAUCUCACCGGAAAGUGACGUAAUCGUCGGCGAUGAUACGAGCGGUUAUUGUAACUAACGAUCAAGGCAAGCCUCGCCUUGUCAAAUUCUACGACUAUCAGCCGGUGGAAAAACAACAGGAAAUCAUUCGGAACAUAUACGGAGGUAUGUUUCAGUUUCCGUUGCGAUUAUUUGCUUAUAAUCGUUUCAGUUUCAGUUAUGAUUAUGUGUCUGAUCUGUUUGUUAUCAUGUGAAUAUGAUUCCAAUGCCUAAUUGAAUACAUAUGGAAUGAGAUGGUGAAAUUAUUGUGCAUAUUGUGUUGUGGAUGUUGUAACUUGUAACCCUAGGAGUUGUUAGAUGUGGAGUUGAAGUUUGGGCAUAGGUUUGAAGAUCUGACCAAGAUCAUUAGAAAUUGAGUGGCAACAAUAUGAAAUUUACUCUAGCUUCAGCAGCAUGAUAUUGUUUAUAAAGAGCUUGGCCACGUGCAUGAAGGUCUUUAAAUGCAAAGAGCUUGGCCUCUCAAAGAAUGAGAUGAAGAAACUUCUUUCCCAUCAUAGACUGCAGCCCAUAAGAUUUAGGUGCUUUUGUUGGUGUUUUGGAGCUUUUUGUAGGAGCUGCCAAAAGUCUUCAUGAGGCUGAAAUGUUCUCAUUUACCAUGAUCACAUUUGAUAUGUUCUUUUCAUGUAUAAAUGGUUAACAUGUUUUCUGUUUUCAUAGCUUUCUGAGAUGAAUGGUAGGUCCUGCGAGAUCCUUAUGGAGCUAGCAAAGUAUCAGGUAUUGUUGCAUUUUGACUUCUGAGGAACGAUUCGUGGGGACCUUUGAAGGCAAUGGCAAUUGCAAGUCUUAUCAAUGGCAUUGGUGAUGUGGUCCUCUGCUUAUUCUUGGACUAUGGUAUCACUAGAGCAGCAUAUGGGCAACAAUGGCGUCUCAGGUGGUUGCACACUUGCAGGAUUUAUGUUGAUUGGAUUUCUAAAAGAUAAAGGGUAUAAUGGUUAUGCCAUUACUUUUUCAUCAGCUAAUUGCUAAUGAACUUCUCCAAAUAUUCAAGCUUGCUGCUCCAGUAUUUAUGAUGAUGAUGUGCAAGCUUAAAAAGGGGUUCAUCAGCCCAAGUACUCUCCACAUCAUCGUGUUGGCACCAACUCGCAAGGUUUUGGUUAUUAGACAGGGGGUAAAUUAGUCCCAAGCAUGGUUAAAAAAAUGGCUGAGGCGUGCGCCUCAAGACCACUCGCCCAAAAAACGAUUAUGAGACGCCGCCGCAAGGGGUUAUAUUGAAUGUGCGCCUCACAGGGUUUAUGAUGACGGGUCCACUUUCUUUGCAACUGAUGUGCAUCUUGACCACCAACAAAUCACAAAUCCUAAGUUUAUAUUAUAUAUUUGUUUUAGCCUAUUUUAAGCUUUUGUUUGUUGUGAUGAUAGUGUUUUCACCCAUGUUGCCCCCUUUGCCACACAUGAGUGAUAAUUGAUGUUCUCAUUUUAAGUGUAGUGGGUCAUUUUUUAACAAAUAAUGUUUUUGUUUAAGAGUCCAGGUCAUUGCUCUCCAUGAACCUGUUAAAAAAAUUAAAAAAAAGAAAAACAAUUAUAUAAAAUUGGUUUUGGUUAAAAAGUGGUUUUCCUAAUAAAAAUACCAACUUGAUUUAGAAAUUUGUUUGUUGAAAAAUAAUCUUUAAACAUGUUCACCAUCUCACACAUAGAGAAAUCAUAAAGAUUUUGAAUGUAUGUUGUGUUUUUCACAAGUAACUGGGAGGGUUGAUGUUUGUAUGGAAGAUGAAACCGUUAACUACCUCAACUGACGUGAUGUACAUAGAGCCUUGCAUGCACACUUGGUUGGGGUUUGAAAAUGGGAAAUGAAGAAGACAAGUCCAUUAAUGCAUUAAAAGUUGUUUGGUAUUUAGAAGAGUAUAUAUAAUUCGAUGGAAUUGAAAUUUGAGAAUUUUCUUAAAUUCGUGAUACUUAGCGAGAUUCUUUUAUGUAAACAAUUUAGUUUUGUUUAUUUGUAUUACAUUUCAUGAACUACUUAAUGAUCAAGCUAUUGAUUCUUCUUGAUCACUCUCAGUAGUCUUUGAAUAUUUAUUUAUUUUGCAGGGAGUCUCCAAAGUCUAAAGACACGUGGACAUGACUAAGAUAGACACCCAGAAUUGUGACCAAGAUUAUUUACCUUACAUGAUUUUUAAUUGACAUUUCCAUUUCACCUGACUAUUUAUGUUUUGUUUUAGUAGUCCAUGACGCACUUACAGGCUCAAGACAAUUCGAUUCAUUGAAAGUGCCUGCAACCUUGCUUUGCCAGAUUGAUACAAAAAAUAUCUAUGGUAUCCAUAUCUGUUGAGACCGUGCCUUACAAGUUGAAUAUGAGUACCGGCGAAUUGGCUAUAUUGAUUAUGACAAGUUGGAGCGAGCAUUUGACAGUGAAGUUGAUUAAUCUAGAUUGUUACUCAUCAUGCAUGUGUUGUUGACAUCUGGAUGCCAAUAUGUCACAUUAAUCUCUGCUAAAGAAGACACCUCAAUUAAAAGAAACAGAGAAGCCGCGAAAACCAGGUUCAAGUGUAGGUGUUGGAGCCCAAAUUUCAAACGGAAAACAUCGCUUGGGUUUUGGUUGAUGAGCAAAUAAAGCUACGCGGUUCGCCGACAUCGAUUUGGGGCAAAGCGGUGGUAGUCGAUGUUGGUAGGUGAUGCAAGUUUGGGGAAGAGCGACGGUGAUUUGUGGUAGUAAGCUGAGUGGAUGCCCUAAAAAUGGAUACUGGUGAAGUGGAUGACACAUGUGGGGCAUUGUUACGCUGUUAGCGUAACCCAUCCACCGGACGGGUAUUAAACUAGUUAUAUUACAUCUCAUUUAACAUAAUGCCCCACAUCCCUACUACACAUCUACACCGCUUUUGUAAAAACGCCUAAUAAUGUCCCAUUGCUGACUGGGCUGCCACAUGACGCAAAACGCCCUAGGGUGAGACAUUAUUCACCCAAACGACUACGCAUGGUCUUAGAUUUGUCUUCAACGGUAUUUCUUUUUUCAAAUUAGUCACUUCCUAUAUAUUAUCUUAAUCAUUAAAUA